rnacentral:rRNA from 1 species
UACGGGGGGGGCAAGCGUUGUUCGGAAUUACUGGGCGUAAAGGGCUCGUAGGCGGCCAACUAAGUCAGACGUGAAAUCCCUCGGCUUAACCGGGGAACUGCGUCUGAUACUGGUUGGCUUGAAUCCGGGAGAGGGAUGUGGAAUUCCAGGUGUAGCGGUGAAAUGCGUAGAUAUCGGGAGGAACACCAGUGGCGAAGGCGGCUUCCUGGACCGGUUCUGACACUGAGGAGCGAAAGGCGUGGGGAGCGAUCCGG